CAUGCAGAGGUGCUUUUUCCCUUGCUCUGGACUUUGUGGCAGGAAAACGACUUCAGCAGCUUUACAAGAGGAGAGAGAUCAGCUCCACAAAAAUUAUUUUAGACCUAUGCCAGCAGCUGCCCAACACACUCAAAUAAAGCCCCAAAUGGAGCGUGGGCCUCCUGAGAAAAACUGCAACCUAUUUCUCAAGCGGCCAGGACGAGGUCCGGAUGAAAGCUGUGAAAUUUCAGCGGCGCUUUUGCAGAGUAUCCCGGUGACUGAGAUAGAAGACAAGACCCUGCAUCUUCUUCUGACUGAACGCUCAGAGCCAGCAUGGCCAUCCCAUCCGGACAAAGGUAGCCCAAGGGAGAACGCUGGCAAGCUCUAGUCCUGCAGCAUCGAUGGAAUGAGCCCUUUUGAAGGCCCCCAGUUCACAUGGUUUCCUUAAUGACCCAGUCAUUAGGGAGAGGCUGGUGAUUCCUAGGCACUUCAUGGCUCUGGACUCCUUCCUUGCCAUUGUUUUCAGGUGGUGGGCUUCAAAACGGUUUCUCUGACAUGAAGGCAACACCACGAUGCCAAGCAAUGAAGAACAGAGGAUUUCCGAAGAACAGAAUGACCCCCAGCAGGAUUUUAGGAGCGACCCAUAUCUGCCACCUGUACAAUACAGGACUGUCCCUUGCAUUUUUUCCAUCACCUAGAGGUGGGAGAUGCUUGCUCAUCAAAUCACAGCCUCGAGGAUGAACCAACCCACCCUGUCAACUAAGACUAGAAAGUUAUGAAUUUUUAUUUACAUUUGCGAGAAAGCUUUGCCCCUUUCCUAG